rnacentral:rRNA from 1 species
AUUGAACGCUGGCGGCAGGCCUAACACAUGCAAGUCGAGCGGAUGAAGGGAGCUUGCUCCUGGAUUCAGCGGCGGACGGGUGAGUAAUGCCUAGGAAUCUGCCUGGUAGUGGGGGAUAACGUCCUGAAACGGGCGCUAAUACCGCAUACGUCCUGAGGGAGCAAGUGGGGGAUCUUCGGACCUCACGCUAUCAGAUGAGCCUAGGUCGGAUUAGCUAGUUGGUGGGGUAAAGGCCUACCAAGGCGACGAUCCGUAACUGGUCUGAGAGGAUGAUCAGUCAGCUGGGAUGUGAGAAUGAGCAGCGACACCUGCGCUGGGAAGCAGUGGGGACUAUUGGGGGAUGGGGCAAAGGCGAAUACAGGCAUGUGGGGGGUGGGAUGAAGGUGUUCUGAUGCGAAAGUACUGAAGGCUGGGGGGAAGGGAAGUAAUUUAAUACCGGGCGAUUUUGACAGUACCAAGAGAAUAAGCACCGGCUAACUCCGUG